UUCAACUGGGUUGUAGCUAUGGCCUUCGAGGAAUUUUUGCUUGUUUGAAGGUAUUUAAGUCCCCAAGUACCCAUCAUGCCUCUGGAUCCUACCCUAUGGAAUGCUAUGAUCCUAAUUGAUUGAUUUAAUUCAAGAAAGAUGGUGAAGAAGAUGAUCCAAAUGGAAGCAAUGCGAACAGUGCCACCUGUGGAACUUGGUGGCAAGGUUCUCUCUAUUAUUAGGACCUUGCCCUUCCCUGACCAUGAACUCUUCAUUUAUUUGUGGUUAUGCUUUGCAUUGUUCCUUCUAAAUAUAUGUCUAGUAUCUAAGAUUUUGCAUUGAGUUUGUUGCUUUUUUUUUUUUUUUGUAGUAAUUCAUGCUUGUAUGGCAUCUCCGCCACUUACUUCAUGGACUAUUAAGCAUUUGACUUUAUAAGAUCAACUUUCCCGUGUAAUUAUUAAUAUUACACGGGAAAAUAUCAGCUAGCAUCACUAUGAACAACAAUAAUGUUAAAAGACUCCUCCAAUGGAGGGGAAGUCACUUGAGAUGUUUGGAUGAGGCAGCGCUUCAACUAAUCUUUAUUCUUUAAGCCAUUCCUUUCCAUCCAAUUUGGAAUUACAGGGAAAUUGAUUGUUAUAUAUCUACGGAUCUAUCUGCAUGGUAAUGUGACGUGCACUCUGCAUGUAGAAUAUACAUGUGCACUGCAUAUAUUAAUUAUUUAUGGCAAUGGUAGUUGUAAUUAAGUUUGAUAAUAUACAUAUGCACUCUGCAAGUCUGCAUAUGAUAAAGCAGAUUCAUAACUCUGUCCAUGUAUCUGUAUAUGGACUAUUACAAAGCUAAUGCAUGUAUAAAGCCAUGAACCAUAAUAGUAAUUGCUAUCUCCCUUUUAGAAUAGACUGUAUGGACUUUUACUUUGUUCUUUUCCCUUUCUGGAAAUCAUCUUUUCAAGUGCAGAAGGCUAGCACUAGUUUAUUCUGCUGUCUUUUGUAUAUUUGGAUGCUAAUAUCUCUAUAUUACGGAUAUUCAAAUGUUGAUUUCAUAUUGUUGUCCUGCGAAGGCUGGCACUAGUUUAUUUUGCUGUCUUUUGGAUUAUCACAAGUUAAAAUUUUAUGUAGAUCAGUGCAUACCACAAACUGUUUCUUAAUCUAUAGAUGCACAAUUCCAGCAAUCUACAUUGCUAUGAGAACCUUGGUGGUAAAAGGAAAAUGUGACAAUUCAGUAUCCUUUUGAGGCAUGAAGUUUGAUGUGGUGGUUUUGUU